UACGUAGGGCGCAAGCGUUGUCCGGAAUUAUUGGGCGUAAAGAGCUCGUAGGCGGUUUGUCGCGUCUGCUGUGAAAACCUAAGGCUCAACCUUGGGCUUGCAGUGGGUACGGGCAGACUAGAGUGCGGUAGGGGGUGACUGGAAUUCCUGGUGUAGCGGUGGAAUGCGCAGAUAUCAGGAGGAACACCGAUGGCGAAGGCAGGUCACUGGGCCGCAACUGACGCUGAGGAG
rnacentral:rRNA from 1 species